GUGCUCGCUCCAGCAGCACACAUACUAAAACUGGAAUGAUGCAAAGAUUAGCACGGCCCCUGCACAAGAUGACACGCAAAUUCAUGAAGCAUUCCAUAUUUAA